UCCAUGGCUUGGUAUUUGAAUAAGCUGGAUCCCACAUAGCUGACUGUACAAUUCGGGUCUUGCGCCCCAUGGCUCAAGAAGCAGACAAACGCAUGUGCCCAAAAUCCAGCGAGGAGGAAGGGGUGGAGAAGGGAUAGUGUCACAGCCAUACCCCAUGAGGUGCUUUCUCCCUUCCGUCCCUCUGUCUCUCUCUGGUGAGUGCACAUGCCUUCCAGCAAAAUAAAACAAAAUAAAUUACAUCUCAUAUUUUCCUCCAAAAAAGACUAAGAAUUAUGAAUGAAAACAGAGUAGAGGGUAAUGAUCCUUAAGGAUUUUAUUCCUCCAAAAUUUUUCUUCAUUCACGACUGAGCACAAAACAUUACAAUGUCAAAGCAAUAACUACACUAAAAGUUAAUAUUUCAUGAACUGUAAACUUGGGCAAACUGCUAACCUAUAAAAUGCUAUUGCAAAAAGUUGUGGGAUUAUUAUCUCAUUUGUCACUCUGCUCAGUGACGGUACUUUUCUUCAAUACUUACGAUAGUCAUGAACGGCCACAACUCUGGAAAAAUAACUUUUUCGCAACUCUGAAAAAAAUCACUCAGGGAGUGAAAACCAGGUAAAGGAUACAUGUAUUGAAAUGACACUUGAAGGAAGGAAAAACGGGAGGGACUUGCUCCCCAGGAGCGGUUAACAUUAGGUCAUCAUAGCUCAGGUGUCUCAGUGAGGUCUUCGGACUCUGAUAGCGACUUACACGAAGACUGUUAUAAAAUUACACGGUGACAGAGCUCAUUGUGAAGAUUUCAUUGGUUCUAAAACAAACCAUUCCCUCCCCCCGUCCCUGCCUCUGAAGAGCAAGCGCUCCCACUGCAUCCUCAGUCCCAAUCCAUGCUCCCCUGUAACGUGCAUUCUGACUAAUCGGGGCGAUGUCAACCCCCUGGGGUUUUGUUCUGUUGCUGGCUUGGGUUUAUGGAGACACCACAAUAAAACUAUCUCAGGACCAACUGUCUUUCACCCGAAGACUAGACAGGACAGUGCACAUAAGCUGCAGGCUCUCUGGGGUUCCCCUUGACAAUGCCAUUGUGCACUGGUAUCAACACAAAGAAGGAGAGCCCUUGAAACGAAUCCUUUACGGCUCUUCCAAGAAAUACAAGAAAGACCAGCCCAAUCCCCGCUUGGAGGCAGAUGAGAAAGAUGACGGUGUCUUUUACCUGAUAAUUAACAAUGUGAUCCAGUCGGAUGAAGCCACGUACUACUGCGCCUGCUGGGAUUUCACAGUGUCUGCGAGUCAGUAGGGACCUGUAAGAAAACCUUCCCCUGCUACUCCUCCCCUGCUUUCCCAGCCGUGCGACCACAUCAAGCUCUUUCGUGCACUUACUGGUU